rnacentral:rRNA from 1 species
AGUAGCCGCGGGAAUACGUAGGGUGCAAGCGUUAAUCGGAAUUACUGGGCGUAAAGCGUGCGCAGGCGGUUAUAUAAGUCAGAUGUGAAAUCCCCGGGCUCAACCUGGGAACUGCAUUUGUGACUGGCAAGCUAGAGUGUGGCAGAGGGAGGAGGAAUUCCGCGUGUAGCAGUGAAAUGCGUAGAGAUGCGGAGGGACACCGAUGGCGAAGGCAGCCUCCUGGGAUAACACUGACGCUCAUGCACGAAAGCGUGGGGAGCAAACAGGAUUAGAUACCCGCGUAGUCCCUGUCUCUUAUACA